AAAUUUUUCAAGAAGAACCUUACAGAAAUGUUGAAAGGCAUUCUCAGUUUGGAGGUAAAUAUUUUCAUAUUGUUUAUUUGACUGCUUAUACUAUUUAUUUUAAGCAAGUUUGGUCCUUGAAAUAAUUAUUUGUUUCACAAAAUUGAGUUCAGCUAUCAACUUAUUAAACCUUUAACUUUUGCAGUCUAUCCAUAAAAGUCCUUGGAAUAGAGCUUGAUGCAUAUGAUUUAACUUCCAUUGAUCUCUUCCCACCCCAGACUCUCGAACUUCUGAAAUUACAGCCUGUGAAUGAGUAAGAUGCUAUUCCGUUUAUAGAAGUACUUGGAGAAGCAAAAAAUAAUCCGGGACACCUGGUCAAUUUUGCCAUGCAAUCAAAUUUUGGACAUACUUGUUUUACACUGCUGCGUUUGUCACUUGUCCUGAAUGUCAUAUCUGAUGAACUUAUCAUCUUAAUUGCCAAUUCGCUUCCAUUUUUAGUUGAGCUGGAUCUUGAAGACAGAACAAGCAUUGAACCAAAACUGCCUCAUGACUUCACUAACGCUGGGCUACAAUCUCUAGGCUUGUUUCAGCACCUCACCUCUCUGUCAAUUGUAGGCAGUAGACUGAAUUUUCCAGUGUCCUUUAAAAGAGUAAAUGGUUUGGGCUUAAUGCUUCUUUCUUAAGAGUUGCAGAGGCCUAGAGUCUGGGAGACUUGGUGGGUUUUCUACAGUUACUGAUGCAGGGUUUUUGUCCAUUUUAUGCUCUUGCUAUAAUUUGAAGAAAUUUGAAGUUUGCAAUGCACCACUAAUGUCAGACUUGGCUUUUCACGACACCAAUGAGGUCGUCUUACUGAUCUGAGAUUCUUGUCGUGCAACCUCAUAACUAGCAAAGCUGUGGCUGAACUUGCUGCAUCUACUAUAUCGAAGUGCUUGUUCUUAGGGUUGCAGGAGCAUCGCCAACCCCUGUCUCGACUUCAUAUCACUCCUUAGUACACUAACCACGCUAAAUCUAGGAGGAGCUGAUGUCACAUUGGCAAUGGUCUUGCUGUUUUGGGUAAAGGGGACUUACUGAUGAACGUUUGAGUCUUGAGGAUGUGUGAGAGUCACUGAUGGAGGAAUAUUCUCCUUACUCAAUGGUGGGGAGAAAAUCAAGAAGACGUUAUCAUCUCUAGAUAUCGGUCACAUGCCAGGAAUAUUAGAUAGAGGUAUCAAAACCAGGGGUGGACACACUCGACUCGAUUUUCAAAUUUUUGAUUUUUCUUGAGGUUUUUCAAGUUUUUCAGGUUUUUUCCUAUGAUUUUUUGGUUUCGCCUCCACUGAAUUUUCAUCCUGGGUCCGCCUCUGAUCAAAACAAUUGUUUCUAGCUCGAGCAAUUACUGAACCAUAUAUGAGGUAUUGCUUUCGUGUGACUAAGGCUGCUUUGAAAAUGUUGGCUUCUGAGAAAUCCAAUAGAAUUAAUUUGCUUCAAAGACUUGACCUUUGUCAUUGCAUGAG
rnacentral:lncRNA from 1 species